ACCUCCAGUUCGGAUUGCAGCCUGCAACUCGGCUGCAUGAAGCCGGAAUCGCUAGUAAUCGCAGAUCAGCAUGCUGCGGUGAAUACGUUCCCGGGUCUUGUACACACCGCCCGUCACACCAUGGGAGUCAGUAACGCCCGAAGUCAGUGACCCAACCUGAAAAGGAGGGAGCUGCCGAAGGCGGGACGGAUAACUGGGGUGAAGUCGUAACAAGGUACC
rnacentral:rRNA from 1 species